AGGUGCGAUCAUACUAGCACUAACAUACCGGAUCCCAUCGAAACUCCAAAGUUAAACGUGUUCGGGCGAGAGAGUACUGAGACGGGCUUUGUCGCAGGAU
rnacentral:rRNA from 1 species